UAAAAUGCACUUCCUGGUUGCUUCAGGGAGCAUAUUUCAAAUACAUUUUCCCCUUUUCCCUGGGGGCAGUGCCAGCAGGAGCCCCCUAAGAAUCAGAUUGGCUGGAGCAGCUUGAUUAGCAGCUGUUCCAGCUAGUAAGACCAAAAGAGGAAGUUGAAGGCAGGGGAGGAGGGGCUGGAGGAAGUUCCCUGUGGAGUAUUCUCUGGUUGUUAGUAUUGGGUUUGAAGACCCAGGUGAGGUUGUUUACUGGUCCUCCAGCAAAAAAUACAUCUGUGCAGGUGCUGUGAAAAUGGGUUCCUGUUGGACAGUGCUAGUGACAUUAGGAGUGAUAAACAACACAAUACUCAGACCAGGCCAUGGUCUGAAGAUAGAAAAUGCAACAGACUUGCUGAAGCUAAGUAGGUCAGCUUCUGGACUGUGCCUGGAUGUGGAAUUGCUUGGGAGCCCUCCUGUGUA